AACGAACGCUGGCGGCAUGCCUAACACAUGCAAGUCGAACGAGACCUUCGGGUCUAGUGGCGCACGGGUGCGUAACGCGUGGGAACCUGCCCUUAGGUUCGGAAUAACUCCCCGAAAGGGGUGCUAAUACCGGAUAAGGUCUUCGGACCAAAGAUUUAUCGCCUUUGGAUGGGCCCGCGUUGGAUUAGCUAGUUGGUAGGGUAAAAGCCUACCAAGGCGACGAUCCAUAGCUGGUCUGAGAGGAUGCUCAGCCACACUGGGACUGAGACACGGCCCAGACUCCUACGGGAGGCAGCAGUGGGGAAUAUUGGACAAGGGGCGCAAGCCUGAUCCAGCAAUGCCGCGUGAGUGAUGAAGGCCUUAGGGUUGUAAAGCCCUUUUACCCGGGAUGAUAAUGACAGUACCGGGAGAAUAAGCUCCGGCUAACUCCGUG
rnacentral:rRNA from 1 species